UUCCUUCCAACUCAAACAAUUCUAUGAUUCUAUGAAUGGAUAUAAAUCCCCGUGGGAAAACGCUGCCUGAGCUUUUUGAUUUCUAGUGCGCAGUGUUAUAGUUAAGAAAAGAAGACCUUGAUCCUGAAGUAAAACUGUGCCUGGGGAGUUUUACUGACUCAGUGACAGCGGGUUAACAGAAACAACCACAAAAUUAUAGAAUACCCUGAGUUGGAAGGGACCCACAAGCAUCACAGAAUCACAGAACCACAGAACGGAGGGCUGUCUGCCUCUGAAACUGACCUUGUCGGGGACAUCCACUGAGGAUGAUAACACUGCCAGGUGCUGAAAUCAACAGCCGUUUCCUAAGGGUGUCCUCCUCCACAUUUGUCUUCCAGCAGAAGAAAAACAGAAAAAAUGCAAAAAACCAGAAUAUUUUCCCCAGUACCGAAAGCCUCCUAAUUCAGAAUACACCAUCUUGUUUAUGCUACAGAGAUUGUAAUUUUCUUUACAAUGCCAAAACUUGUGAAUAUCUGAUGACAUGAAAUUUGGCUUGAUGAUAUGCUGCUGGCUGAAGCCGUAUAUGAAAUGGCUCUCUCAGCUUCUCAGUCAUGUAUUAAAACAGGACAAAAACCCUAGGGGAAAAUGUAUGUAUGCUUUUCUCAGAAUUCAGUUAGAUAUGAAAGUGCUAAAACAAUACCUUUUUUGCUCACAUUUGUCUAUAAAUUUAGGAUGAUUUCCCUUUUUAAUGGCAAAGCAGAUCAGUGUCACCACGGUGACAGGUAGCUAAGGCUGAUAGCUGAUGUGAUAAUGUUUGUCAAAGAAACGGCAGCAGAAAGCAGCAGUCCCUCUGCCAACAAAUGUUUUCUAUCAGCCCUGAAGGUAUCUGACGCCCAGCCACAAAAUGGGGACAGUUAUGCAAGAACAACUCGACUUCAUCACGGGCGAUGCUUGUGUAUGCAAAUACUGGUGUAAUGAAUCCAAUUAGGUUUCUCUGCGUGCAGGAAUAUGCCAAACUAGCUGCAUCUGAUCAGGCUGGUUGAGGGCUGGGUACAUAUAAGGUCCCCCACCAGUAGAGCCCAGCAUGGACACAGCAUGGACACCUGGAGCCAAGAGCAGGCAAGCUUGGAUUCACCCAAUUCAUAUGCUUAAUGCAACACCUCCCAGUGCACACAGGAACAAUGUCCCGGCUUUCCUGCACCCAUCACAGGUUCCCACACUAUCAAGAAGUCUUCUGGAAGUCCAAUCCAGAUACUGACCUGAUGACUGUUCUCAGAGACCUGUGAUCAUCCUUCAUACAGUUAAAUUGCCUUUCUAUACUUUGCACAACACAUUCUUCUAUCAGCUUUCCUACUCCCAUGAUGCAAUUUUCUAAUGGUUUAAUUGUUUUAUCCAUAUGCUAAGCAUGUACCGAGCAGGGUCCUCUCAUUAGCAGCUGCUGACCUGUAUACCAGAGCUGUCAGGAAAGAAGCCCAGGGAGUGCGCUGCAAAGAAGUGAUGCACUUACUGUUGUUGUCUGAAAGGAAUUUUACAUUUAAUCUUGAACACUUGAUAAAAGGAGCAGAAAAAGGACAAAGCAAUACUGCUAAGGUGAAAGACUUUCUAUAAGACUUCAAUAGUAAACUUGUGAUAACAGACACAAGAGUGGGAAUUAUAGCGGAAAGCUGUCAAUCCUGCCUGAAAGAUCACUCAGUGAUAAGGAAGCCAGUUCUCUCUUACUAAAAUUUACCUGAGCUCUACAGAAGCCUCCAGGCUAUCUACAGUUAGGAAUCUUCCCUUGAACAUGAGCUCAGAUAGAGGUUGAGCUCUUCUUUUAUUAUCUUAUCUCUAUUAAGAAAUGAUCCCUAUCUUUUAAGGCCAGCAGAUACACCUCCUUGCUGUUUGCAGUCCGGAUUUUUUUCUGUUUAUCCCACAGAUAGGCACUUCAUGGAUCAUCUCUCACUCCUUGCCUACAGUGCUUUCCUGUUACUUUAUUUCCUAUCAGCUCUCAUAAGUAUAGUUGAAGUUGGAAAGAGACGUGGUAACAUUUAACUUUCUCUGGUUUACAGUAUUUCUACUGUUUCUAGUUAGUCUAAUGGUAUUUAACAUUCCCACCAUAAGAGUUAAGAUUAUUUAGGAAGUGUAUACUGCAAUAUGUGUAUUGCAUGUCUUCUAAUGUAGAUAUGUAUGUCUUCCCCCUUAGGUAUUUCCUAGUGCUCUUGCUGUGCUCAAGACUACCACAGUUGUCUUGUCUAGACCUCUGUAAGCAAUUUGAGAGAGCACAAACAGGCAUCACGUCAAGCAGCUUACCUAUCAUACUUUUCAUACUUUCAAGCACGUCACUGCUUCAUUUGUACAGAUACAGUAAUAAGACUUGACAAUUUCAGGGCUGUGGGAUAUCACUAUUGCCUGAAACGUAACCUUGAUCAACAUCACCCAGUACUCAAAGUCUUCACCAGGAGAAGUUACGCUGUCACUAGUUAGCUUUCUUUACCUAGUGACCUUGUCUGCUGAAGAAGGUAUUCAUUUGAGUGGGAGGCACACAAGUUGUGACAAAUCUUCAGGUUUGUCUUUUAGCACCAUCUUCUCCCCAGAAAAGUGGAGAAAUGACAGCAAGAAAAGCAGAUUAUCCUCAUAAAGUGAAGUUUGCAAUUUAAUACGCAGUUGCUAUUGCAUACUGAGAGUUUAUAAUAGAAGUUUUUAAUUGGAAUUCAUAAAUUGCUCGUGGACAGGUUACCAAAAGAUCACUUAUCAUCAUUCCACCUGUAUAAAUGACUGACAAGGUACAUGAACAUUUGGCGUAAGACAUAAAACUCAAUCUUAUAUCCCUUUUAUCAGGCUUGGCAACACAAUCUGACAAUGUUCCACAGAAAAUCAAUAACAAUAAUAGCUGUCUCAUUAGUGGCCUUCAUAAUGUUGCUGAUUUGGCUUCUUUUGUGGGGCCAACCAUAGGCUAGAUUGUUUUUCUUCUUUUACAGGGACUCUCUAGAGAUCUAGAUAUAUCAGAGAUGAGCUAAUUGUCCAAAUUACUAUUAGAAGAGUUCUUUAAAAGAAGUCCCAGCCUACUUUAUGAAGAUCUGCCCUAAUCUUCAGGGUCUAGUUUUGUAGCUCAGCAUCUGUUUUCCUGCAGGAAUAAUUUUCUGUCUAGAACCUGACAUUGAAUUCUCUUGAUCUUUUUCUAGGAAAAUGAUAAUAAAAUGAAGAAUAAUUUUUCUAUUUGGUUUGCAAGAGAUCCACUCAGCACCAUUAGCUAAGUCUUCUUACAAACUAACAAAGAGCAAACCAACCCUUUCUGCCCCACUGGGCCAGGAGGUGAAGCUUCCAGGUAGGGCUGUGCACCCGCAGCUUUGCUGUCAUCCCAGUUCCUUCAGGGGCCUUUCCUGCACCUGGUGCUGUGGAUGCUGUGUCCUGUCACCAGCCAUGGUCAGCACCUCCUUGCCCUGGCACACAAGAUCCUUGGGAGAUUUUGCUUAGCAGAAGUGUUUGAGCCAUGGAACAUGAAACAGACGUCACGAUUAUACCUGAAAUCUUCCAGGGUUAGAGGUUAUAUCCAUUAGGAUGUGAGUUGGAGCUACACCUUUAUUUUUAUUUCUUCCUUGCGAAUGUUUAUGAAGCACCUGAAAGCGCUGGAGAGUUGUAAUCAACAUACAGGCUAUAGAGCUUGUCACACUCUGAGGACAGCCAGCAAUGCCAAAGGAGGACACUGCGAAAGCAGCAGAGCAGCGAUGGGCCCACUGUGGGCAGGAGGUCAGAUCCAUGUUGCUGCUGUUGGGCAGGGCACACCUUCCUGCACAUGGCCUGCUCCUGGUGGGAGAGAUGACCAAGCCAUGGGCUUUGGGUGCAUGCUGGUUUCACAUGAUGGGUUCUCAUACCUCCUCCUCAGAGGAAGACGGGGAAAAAUAGAAUGGAAAAAAGAAAGGCUCAGGGUUUGAAAUAAGCACCAUUUAAAUAAGGUGUGAGGAGUGGGGGAGAGGGUUGAAGGAGGGAAGAGAAAGAGAAAAAUGAGCAAAGACGUGUGGAAGCAGAGAGAAAACAGUUAUUCUGUAUUUCUCAUCUGCAAGCAGAACCUCAAUACACAUAGCAGUUGAAUAGGAGGACAGAUGUUUUAACAUUAAUAACAUUCCCCUUUACCAGCUUUUACUGCAUAGUGUGCAUUCCUCAGAGUAUGGAAUAUCCCUCAGGUUGGUUUAGAUCGGCUGCCUUGGUGAUGUCCCCUCCACUGCUCUUGCCCACCCACAGCCUCCUGGCACUGGGAGUGCUGGAGAGAGCCUUGAUGCUGUGCCAGCACUGCUCAGCAAUAGACAAAACAUUGGUGCAGUAUCUUGUACCGUUCCAGCUACAAGAGCAGAGCACAGCACUGUAUGGGCUGCUGUGGGGAAAGUGAACUCCAUCCCAGCCAGACCCAGUGCAGAGAACUGACAGGCAGAAGUGUCGUCAUGCAUGGGAAGUGCGAAGAAAAUCACUUGAGGUUUUUCAGGAUCUUCUCGUUGCUCUUUCAGCCUUCCCAUGGGAUAACAACAAAAUAGAAACUUCUCAUUGCAUUAGGAACAUGUCUUUACCAGUUUGUAUACACUGUCUCAAAAGAGCAGCAAUUACUCCAUUAAGUCAACCAUUCCAAAUAGCUGGUUCUGACAAAAAGAUUUCCAAGGAAUAUUAGGCUAUGUUAUAGUUUCCCAGCUAUGAGUCAAGAGCAUAACUUUCAAGCUACUGAUAAAGGAGGACUCUGAGAGGCUGCGCUCUCCUUUCCCCAGUAGCUCUCAGAAGAGGAAGCCAAAGAGGUUUCCAGAACGAAUGAAUGCAGUAACAUUGCACAUUCUGUUUGCCUCCAUACCUUCUGUUCAUAGCUAUUUUUUAAGGAACAUGGAGUCUUCUGCAAGGGCAACAAGUGCAAAAGGGCCAGAGAAAAGUGGCACCCAGACAAUAAUACAGAUGAUGAAAAUGAUUAAGAAGGAGAGCCUUGAGAGAUGCUGCUAAUGAAGACAAAUGAAGGAAAAGGAACUUGACCCCAGAGUAUGAAAUUUUGCUCAUUAAGAAGUGCUUCCAAUUGGCUGAUUGAUAUUAUUUUUAUGUAGAUGGGGUAAUUAAUGACAAAAAGUAAUGCAGCAGGAUAUGAGUUGUGCAGAAUGCACUUCAGUUAAUCUACCUUUUAUUAUGUCUUGGUUUAUUUAUGCACGCUACAUUUGUUAUGCUACUGCCUGUUGCGGUUCCCACCUUCAUUUGGAAUUUCCUUCACUUGUUUUCUUCAUUCUUUAUGCUAUUCUGGGAUUUCUUUCUUUCUUUUUUUUUUUUAUUUAAUGUUUCUGCAUGUAAUUUCCUAAUCUGUUUUUAGUAAUACAAGGAUGCACUUUCAUGGUCACAAGGAACAUUUUUGCAUGUGAAACAUUUCUUACAAUAGAAAUCACCAGUGAAACAAACUAUGCUUCCUUCCUACUUCAUUGGACAGGCUAUGGGUAUUGCCAGUAAAUUAACUGCUAGGAAUCUCCUCUGUACACUCACUCACAUGAUUACUCUGUCCCAGAAGGAAAUGAGAAAAAUCUGAAAUUCUUUACAUUUUUUUGGCUAUGUGGGUGGAGAAAAGAAAUGCCAGAACUUUUUUAAUGACACAUCCUCCUGGAAGGAAGCUGUCCUGUGGUUUUAAGCCAAAGGAUUUAAAACCAGUAAAAUACCACCAUGCUUUUGAUUUAGCUUCUUGAUGUGUUGAAUAAUGCAUGCCACCAAAGAAAAAGACAGGCUAAAAAUACUGAGCGAUGUGAAAUGACCCUUGGACUGAUCCUAUAAAUGUUUAUGCAUGUGAAUAAUUUUACACAAGCUUACUAAGGUGAUAAGAGAAUAUGCUCAUGAAAAGUUAUUGACCUGAAUGUUUGUCUGGAGGAUCAGACUGUUGCUAUGGAUAUUUUUAUCCAGAUCUCCCAAAGAAAACUUGUGUAAUCAUGUUUGGUGUGUUUCUCUAUCCACUUGCCUUUUGUCUUUCCCAAAACCUUUGAAUCUUUUGACAUAAACCUGGUACUUACUCUUGAGGUCGUACAAAGGAGCUUCUUAAUAUAGUGUGUGACUCAUAAAAUAAUUGCAAUUUAAGAAAAAACCACAUUCUUUUGUGCAAGAUGCAAAGAAGAAGAUGGAAGAAAGUGCCAAAAAUGGGAGCUUCCAGCUUUCUGCUACAUGACAGUUUUUCAUGUGUACAUCUCCAAGUCAAGGGAACUGCGACUGGGCAAAGAAGGGGAAAGUGACCUCACAUGCCCUGUAAGGAAGAGCAUUCUGGUGAGCACUUAUCAGACAGUAGCUGAUGCUCUGGAAAUUUCCUCUAAUGACAAUAACUUGUCUGCUUGCAUAUUCUCACAGAUAUUAAAAAAAGAAAUAGGGAGGACCAGGUAUUCCAGCAACUUUGAUACACCUGGUGACUUUAUUUAGAAGAUGUUGAGACAAAAACUGAAUGUCUGUGGUGUGGUAGUGUCGCAUUCCUACUGGGAGUGAAGUGGUUCAUGUAUGUGUUGCCUUCAGAUUACAAAAGUAACUUUUGCUAUGCUAGACUGCCACAUCCUGCUCCCUUCAAAUACCAACAUCCUUUGGAGGAUGAGCAUCCUCCAGGACAUAAAAGUGAGAUCAUACCUCCUGAAGACACCUAGUGUUGAUAAUAUGGUUUUGGCUAAAUCAAAUUUUAACACAGGUAGCUAGGGAUAGGACAAAGGAGAAUGGUCUUAAACUAAAAUAAGGGAGAUUUAUAUUAGAUGUCAGGGGGAAAUUUUUUGCUGAGAAGGUGGUGAGGUGCUGGAACAGGCUGCCUAGAGAGGUUGUGGGUGCCCCGACCCUGGAUGUGUUCAAGGCCAGGUUGGUUGGGGCCCUGGACAGUCUGGUCUGGUGCCUAAUUUAGUGGAUAUUCUUUCCAACCCAACCCAUUCUAUGAUUCUAGGAUUCUGGGAUUCUGGGAUUCUGGUAUUCUAUGACUGUAUUCAUCACUCUCCUGAACCUAGACAAGCUAUUCGCUUGUUGUGAAAGUAGUGAAGUGUUUGCGCUUCACCCUAGAAAUGCCUGAAUUUCUCACUUUUUAUAAAUGAAACACAUUAGGAAGAAACAACUCUUUAAAAUGACUUCACACAUUGGAAUAUCCUCAGACUGGUUCAGGUAUAGGCACAGAAACUGACAAUUAGGUGAGCUCAUUCUUCAGCCUGUUUCAGAGAGCUAAUGACUCCUCUAAAGUUCAAAAUACAAUACUCUAAUAAUGAAUAUUAUUUACUCUGUGUGGGCUACUUUCAUGAGAUAACAAGAAGGUGAAGUGAAAAUUCAUCUUGCUGGAAAUACAUGAUAUAGCCAAAAGAAAGAAAGCUCUCACUUUCUCCAGUGAGGAUUACAGAAAGGGAAAAACAGAGGAUUUUGAUCUUUUGGAAUUUACUGCAACAUGCUGGCUGUUUAUCUGAAACAAGAGGAAUGGUCAGCCACCUGGCAGCCUCCUGGAAGCCUGCAUGUCUCCUCUGAGCAGAUGGCGCACACAGAAGCUGAACACAAACACUUGUCCUUUUGUCACAGGUGCUCAAAAAAUUGCUUCAAAGUACAACAGUGGACUUCUCUGUGACCACUGCCACUGCUUUCAGAGAAAUAGCAGGGAGCAUUUCAACAUGGAUACAAGACCAUUCAGUACAAAGUAUUUAAUUUUUCAUGUUGAAAUAAGCCUAGCAUUGAUCUUUGUGUCCCAGCACCAAAACCAGUAAUGAGAAUAGUAAUCGCUCUGGUAGACUCCUCUGUCUCUUCCAGCCUCCCUGCACCCAUCUUUGCCAUGCCCCUUCCCGGUUCCAGAUAUGACUACAGACUGGGGGAAGAACUCACUGAAAGCAGCCCUGAAGAGAAGAACCUGGGGGUCCUUGUGGAUGAAGAGCUGGACAGGAGUCAACAUUGGCCUGAAAGGCCAAUAGUAUACUGGACUGCAUCAAGAGAAGGGUGGCCAGCAGGGCGUGGGAAGUGAUUACACUAAGAAGGGCGACUUGUUUUCCUUCCAGUACUUGAAGGGGGAAGACUGACUUUUUGCACAGUCUGAUAAUGAUAGGACAAGGGGGAAUGGUUUUAAGCUACAAGAGGAAAGAUUUAGGUUAGGAGAAAUU